AGCAGGUAUAGAUUACAGAUUGCAAUGGACACCAAUACACUAUUGCUUUGCUGAUUGAGGUCAGAGCUUUAAAGAAUAAAUAAAUAAAUGUUCUAUAGCUCGCUAGACCACUGGCUUUUAAUGAACAGUUUGCACAACACUUACAAAAUAGUUUCCUGACCAUUAUGCAUUUACUCAUGGGUUAGCUCCUCCCCUCACAGCAGAAAGGACAGGAAAUAGAACUCUGAAACUGGUAUAAAUAGAUCCUCCCCCUUCCCAUCAGGCAGUCUUUUUUUCCUGUCCUGCACAGCAGUUUG